rnacentral:rRNA from 1 species
AUUGAACGCUGGCGGCAUGCUUUACACAUGCAAGUCGAACGGUAACAGGCCGCAAGGUGCUGACGAGUGGCGAACGGGUGAGUAAUGCAUCGGAACGUGCCCAGUCGCGGGGGAUAACGCAGCGAAAGCUGCGCUAAUACCGCAUACGAUCUCUGGAUGAAAGCGGGGGACCGAAAGGCCUCGCGCGAUUGGAGCGGCAGAUGUCAGAUUAGGUAGUUGGUGGGGUAAAGGCCCACCAAGCCAAAGAUCUGUAGCUGGUCUGAGAGGACGACCAGCCACACUGGGACUGAGACACGGCCCAGACUCCUACGGGAGGCAGCAGUGGGGAAUUUUGGACAAUGGGCGCAAGCCUGAUCCAGCAAUGCCGCGUGCAGGAAGAAGGCCUUCGGGUUGUAAACUGCUUUUGUACGGAACGAAACGGUCCUGGUUAAUACCUGGGGCUAAUGACGGUACCGUAAGAAUAAGCACCGGCUAACUACGUGCCAGCAGCCGCCGUAACAC